AUACGUAGGGGGCGAGCGUUGUCCGGAAUUACUGGGCGUAAAGGGCGCGUAGGCGGUCUAAUAAGUCAGAUGUGAAACCCCCGGGCUUAACCCUGGGCUUGCAUUUGAAACUGUUGGACUUGAGGACAGGAGAGGAAAGCGGAAUUCCCAGUGUAGCGGUGAAAUGCGUAGAUAUUGGGAGGAACACCAGUGGCGAAGGCGGCUUUCUGGACUGCACCUGACGCUGGGGCGCGAAAGCCAGGGGAGCGAACGGGAUUAGAUACCCCGGUAGUCCUGGCCGUAAACGAUGGAUACUAGGUGUGGGAGGUAUCGACCCCUUCCGUGCCGGAGCAAACGCAAUAAGUAUCCCACCUGGGGAGUACGGCCGCAAGGCUGAA
rnacentral:rRNA from 1 species